UAGGGAAUCUUCCGCAAUGGGCGAAAGCCUGACGGAGCAACGCCGCGUGAGUGAUGAAGGUCUUCGGAUCGUAAAACUCUGUUAUUAGGGAAGAACAAAUGUGUAAGUAACUAUGCACGUCUUGACGGUACCUAAUCAGAAAGCCACGGCUAACUACGUGCCAGCAGCCGCGGUAAUACGUAGGUGGCAAGCGUUAUCCGGAAUUAUUGGGCGUAAAGCGCGCGUAGGCGGUUUUUUAAGUCUGAUGUGAAAGCCCACGGCUCAACCGUGGAAGGUCAUUGGAAACUGGAAAACUUGAGUGCAGAAGAGGAAAGUGGAAUUCCAUGUGUAGCGGUGAAAUGCGCAAAGAUAUGGAGGAACACCAGUGGCGAAGGCGACUUGCUAGUCUGUAACUGACGCUGAUGUGCGAAAGCGUGGGGAUCAAACAGG
rnacentral:rRNA from 1 species